rnacentral:lncRNA from 1 species
UUUUUUGACAAAUCAAUAAUUUUGUCCUUUGUGAAAAACACAACAUUGUAAAACGCAAAUAUGAUAUAGAAAAUGCAAUCUUAAAGAUAAUAGUUGCUUUAUUUUAUUGUUAGUUGUUUGUUCAGUAGUGUAUGUCAUUAACUUUUAAGGACAAAAAUGUUGAUUUGAAAAAAAUAUGUAUCAUCUUUUGAGGUCACCUGGCCCCAAGGGCCAAGUGCGCUUUUUUCAUCACUUGGCGUGCGUCGUCCGUCGUCGUCCGUCGUCGUUAACCUUUACAAAAAUCUUCUCCUCUGAAACUACUGGGCCAAAUUUAACCAUACUUGGCCUAAAUCAUCAUUGGGGUAUCUAGUUAAUAAAAAUGUGUUCGAUUGCCCAGCCAACCAACCAAGAUGGCCGCCAUGGCUAAAAAUAGAACUGGAGGUAAAAUGUAUAUUUUGGCUUAUAUCUCUGAAACCCAAGCAUUUAGAGCAAAUCUGACAUGCGUAAAAUUGUUUCUCAGGUUACAAUGUAUGAUCUAUCUGCCCUGAAAUUUUUAGAUGAAUCGGACAACCUAUUGUUGGGUUGCUGUCCCUGAAUUGGUAAUUUUUACGGACAUUUUGCCGUUUUUGGUUAUUAUCUUGAAUGUUAUUAAAGAUAGAGAUAAACUGUAUACAGCAAUUAUGUAGAGCAAAAUAAGAUCUACAAAAAAGUAAACAUGACCAAAAUGGUCAGUUGAUCCCUUAACGAGUUAUUGCCCUUUAAAGUCAAUUUUUGUCAAUUAUACGUAAAUUUUUGUAUUUUUUUACAAAAAUCUUCUCCUCUGAAACUACUGGGCCAAAUUUAACCAUACUUGGCUACAAUCAUUAUUGGGGUAUCUAGUUUUAAAAAUGUGUCCGAUGACCCGGCCAACCAACCAAGGUGGUCGCCAUGGCUAAAAAUAGAACAAAGGGGUAGAAUGUAGAUUUUGGCUUAUAUCUCUGAAACAAAGCAUUUAGAGCAAAUCUGACGUAUAUAAAAUUGUUUAUCAGGUCAACAUCUAUGUACCGUAAAACUUUAAGAUGAAUCAGACAACCCGUUGUUGGGUUGCUGCCCCUGAAUUUGUAAUUUUAAGGAAAUUUUGCCUUUUUUGGCUUUUAUCUUGAAUAUUAGUAUAGAUAGAGAUAGACUGUAAACAGCAAUAAUGUUCAGCAAAGUCAGAUCUACAAAAAAGUCGAAUGACCAAAAUGGUCAAUUGACCCCUUAAGGAGUUAUUGCCCUUUAUAGUAAAUUUCUCGUAAAUUUUUGUAAUCUUUUACUAAAAUCUUCUCCUCGGAAACUACAGAGACAAAGGAGUAGGUCCAGUAAGACCCCUUUUUGGCCCCAAAAUAUAGCAGUUUUACAAAAUUGUUAAAAUGUAAACCUUUAGUUAUUUAUUGAACAGUAGAAUGCUUCUGCUACAUAAAUAUGGGCUGUUUUUGACAAUACACUGCACAUAUAUGGGGGUACUAGCACCAUCAAGUCAUGCUAAAUUACUGAAAUCUUCAUAAUUCUAGCAUUUUAGUUAAAUUUUAGACGGUUUCCGUGUAAACGAAAGUGGCCGCAUUCGUGUUCACCCUUAAUAUUGAAAUGUGAGUUGUAUUUGAUGAUAAUAUAUAACAUAUAAAAGUUGAAGAUGAACACGGAUGCGGCCAGUUUCAUUUUUGACAAAAACCAUAUGAAAAGUGACAUGUUUUGGCAUAUUUGGUAGGUUUUUCAUAUUUAAGCUUGAUUCGGAACGUUUUAAUGACUAAAUUAAUUAAAAUCUUUCACAUAAACUAAUUGAAUUAAAUGAAAUAGACCCUUAAGUGUUUAAAAAGUGGUCAAAAUCUUUCGUCAGAUGAACAUCAAUUUUGAGGCCAAAAUCGGUCCUUACCGGACCUACUCCUUUAACAAAACUUGUCCACAAUCAUCAUUAGGGUAUCAAGUUUAAAAAUGGGUCUGAUGACCCCACUUGCAAUCCAAGAUUACUGACAUGGCUUAAAAUUGUACAUACGGUAAAAUGCAGUUUUGGGCUAAAAUCUCAGAAACCAAAGCAUUUAGAGUAAAUCUGACAGGAAAAAUUUGUUUGUAAGGUCAAGGUCUAUCAGCCGUGAAAUUUUCAAACCAAUCAGGCAACCUGUUGUUGAGUUGCUGGCCCUGAAUUGGUAAUUCUAAGAAAAAUGUUGCAGCUUUUGCUUAUUAUCUUGAAUAUAAUAAUAGAUAUAGAUAAACUGUAAACAGCAAUAAUGUACAGCAAAGUAAAACCUACAAAUAAGUCAACAUAAUCAAAUGGUUAAUUGACCUCUUGAGGAGUUAUUGCCCUUUAUAGUAAAUUUUAAACAAUUUUCAUAAAUUUGGUAAAUUUUUACAAAAGAUUCAAACUUCUUGGAUAGAUUCAUAGGUUCAUUAGAUAGAGAUAAUUGUAAGCAGCAAGAUUGUUCAGUAAGGUAAGGUCUACAAACACAUCACCAUCACCAAAACACAAUUUUGUCAUGAAUCCAUCUGUGUCCUUUGUUUAUGAUAUGUAAAUAGACCAAGGUGAGCGACACAGGCUUUUUGGAGCCUCUAUUUUUUUUGUAUCUGCAGAGUUUCAUGGUUAUUUAGGAAAUAAUAGUUUCCUCGUCUGUCAGUAGAAGAUUUCUUCAUUGAAAAGAUGCACUUCUUUUAAAUCGCUUGUUAGUUCUUCUGCUGUUGGACAAGCAGACUCCAGGAAUACUCUCCAGUGAUUUGAUGCUUGAACACAUAUAUAUCAAUAAAAAUGUUAACAUU